GCAAACUUGGUCAUUUAGAGGAAGUAAAAGUCGUAACAAGGUUUCCGUAGGUGAACCUGCGGAAGGAUCAUUAAAGAUUCUGGCCUCGGCCAAACCUCUUCAGCUGUGCGCCUCGGCCGCACGCUGUUGAACCCUCUCACACCUGUGCACGCAUCGGUCGUGGUCCCACGUGGCCCACCUCCGCCUUUCACACAUUUCACAACAGUAUCGAAUGUAUCAAACCAUAAAUCGUAACAACUUUCAACAACGGAUCUCUUGGCUCUCGCAUCGAUGAAGAACGCAGC
rnacentral:misc_RNA from 1 species